rnacentral:rRNA from 1 species
CCUACGGGAGGCAGCAGUGGGGGAUAUUGGACAAUGGGGGGAACCCUGAUCCAGCGACGCCGCGUGAGUGAAGAAGUAUUUCGGUAUGUAAAGCUCUAUCAGCAGGGAAGAAAUGACGGUACCUGACCAAGAAGCCCCGGCUAACUACGUGCCAGCAGCCGCGGUAAUACGUAGGGGGCAAGCGUUAUCCGGAAUUACUGGGUGUAAAGGGAGCGUAGACAGUUAAGUAAGUCUGGGGUGAAAGGCCGG